UCCAAUAAAACUUUUUUAGCUAAGAAGGGUAUUCAUCACUGUAGGACAAUUUUAAAAAAGCUCUUAGAAGUCUGAAAAGCUUGUGCCUCUUCAAAUGGCAAUAAUUCACUGAUGUAUAGUUAUUCGAAAUGCAAUCUUUUUCACGACAAAAGAUCCUUUGGGAACAGUGUUUUGUCCUACUUAUUUAUAGUUUUAUAUUAUAGUUUUUUAAAAGACGGUAUUACUUGUCUUACCUUAAGGGGGGGGUCUGGGCCUACGCUUUUACGGUUCCCUGCACGACAUGCUUGCUUUGCUUUACAUGGUAGCACAGGUACAGACCUACUCUACCGCAUCCUUCUGAUGGGUAGGGUGGCGUGGUCUUGGGAGUAGCGCAGGUCGCUGAGAUCCCCAAGGCAAGUUUGGUGGACUAACCUUCUCGAGGUUGCCGACCCCGUUCUUGGUCUAAUACCUUAUGUAAUAGACGCAACUGAAACCACCAAGCGAACUUUUGCAGGGAUGGAGAGGUCAUGUCCUUGCGAGUUCAUCGUCCCAGAAGAUAGGACGGUGGACAGUCAAUGAUCUCCCGCGUGUUUGUGCCGUGCGCGGGGACCCGUACGGGAGGAUGAAGGAGUCCUGGGGGUUGAGUGGCGUAGUGCGCCGGUUUCAGUUGUGCGCUGCACACAACACACCUCUUUGGUCUGGAUUUCUCCUCACACGGGAGGCUGUGGUUUAGCUGACCAGGGUCAAUCGGCUGUGGUAUCCCAUAAGCGGGCUACCGAGCGAGAGUCGGGGUAUGGUGGGGGGGCCGUCGGCGUGGCACGGGACUCGGGGUGAGUUUGCGUCAUCGUCUCUUGAUGCGAACAACUCUGUACUUCUUUGCUGCGUGCGGACGCGUCUGCCCUUCCACGCGCUGGCUCUAUACCGGAGGAGUAGCUCUGACGUCGCUUGCUAAGCAAGAGACGUCCCCGAGUUGAGGGCUCCGUGGCGGGUGGAGAGCUCUGACGGUGAAUAUUUUCCAUAUCACCUCAUGGAUAAAGAGGCAAACCAACACAAUAAACAUAACCAACAUCAAGCUGCAUCCACGGAUGCGCCUAAAAUAAACAAACACAACGGUGCGUCUCGGGACGUGUCGCGGUGCAAGUCACCAGUGGCGCGAUACUCUGAGGUCCCCGUCUUACACACGGAUGCACCCAUUAGGGCAGCGUCCAAGACACCGAAGGAGGGAAUAGUGGCUGAGGUUGCGCCAAUCCGGGCGGUACCCUUGACCGCGCCCCCUCCGAUGGAAUACACACCAUCGCACAGGGAUUUGUCCUCUGCUGCGGCCAGGUUGACUGAGUCGGCCGAGCCAAAGAUGGCAACUCCGAAGGAUGCUGCAGUAAUGUCUGCAUCUGUAGGUGGGGCAUCCGCGGCAAGACUGAUGCGGAAGAUCGAGGCUGCGGCGGGGAGCACGUCUGGUGCACAAACGUCGACCUUAGACUUGUCGGCCAUGAAAACUGCAAUGCAGGAACCGACUCAAGUAACUACGGUCCUAAGCCACUCCAAAAGGCGACGGCUCAGGAAAGCCAAAAGGGCGUUGGGACAGCACAAGCUGGUUACCGAUGCUCAGAAACUACCUGAGGACCCCAGAACUGCCCCUGCUACUACCACAGCAGCAAGAGCCGGGAAAAGGGGACUGCAGCCGACAAGGUUGAUUACCGCGCUCAGUCCUAGCGGUUCUGAGAGAAGUAAGAGACCUAGAGUGCCUAACCUAAACAAUAACCCCAAAAAUAACCAACAAAGGAAGGGCCAAAAACGCGGUUGGCCAGAGGAAACAGUGUCACCGACUGGGCAGAGCAAAAGGGUAAAACCCAACAAACCUCAGCCGGGAGCAGGGACCUCGGCUAGCUACGCAGGAGCGGCAGCAUCUUACAAAGCAAACGAGCUUUGUGUUGCCGUUAUGACUGAGCCCUUCGUGGAUAUGACUCAAGAUGAGGCGGAUAAAAUCCGCCUACAGCUCGAGGGCAAGAUUCUAGAUGAGCUCAUGGCAGAUCUUGAAGUUACCCUGACAACCGAACCCAACGACAUCAGGUUCCGUGGUAAAGCCCACUUCUCGGAUGGUGUCCUCAAAACUUGGUGCGAGGACACCUUCACACUGAGAUGGCUGACCGCUACCUGCGAUGUCAUCACUAACCCAAUACCUGACACCAGGUUGGUGGUUCGGCCUCAAUCGGAAAUUCCGAGAAAGGUACCGUGUCUUCUACACGUACCAGAGUUCACUGGUAACACGGAGACCCUGCGGAAACUGAUUACGAGGCAGAACCGCCACCUUAAUAUUAGAUCUUGGACCCUGACGCACGAACGAAGAACACAGGACCCAACAGGCGUAUCCCUCUUCUUUCGUGUGCCGGAGUUUGAGAUCUCAAGGAUCAGAGCGCAUGAACGGCGUUUAUACUACCUGUUGGGGAACAUCUACAUCCGCAUAUUGGAAAAAGAUGAACCCUCACAGGUGGCCGCCGCUCCAACACUAACCACUACCACAUCGGGGACGGAGUCAUCUGUGCCAAAGCCGCCAACGUCAAUGACGGAGGUAACUACGGCAACCGAGACACACGCCCCUAUCGAGGUAGUUCAACAACUGGUACCGGUACCAGUAACCUCGGUAGACGAGUUCUUUCAGGAGACUGGGGGGAGUGAAUUCAGCGAUAGCUGUUUGCGCUCCUCCCCCUCGCCGAACUGACCUCAUCUAGGCCAACCUCCAGCACAGCCAAACAGCGUCGGCUUCCUAACGCAGACUGCUGGAGACCAACCCGAAGACCAUCGCCGUGAUCCAGGAGCCGUGGAUCAGGAAUGGCAAGAUAUGUGGCCUGGGUCGCACCGGAGGAAAACUUCUACUGGAUACCUCCGCAACAGAUAAACAAGGCUUGGGAAAAGCAGAAAUCCAAGAGAGUUUCGUUAAGCGUGGCUGUGCCGUUUCGAAACCAUUGUUCAAACACUCGUAUGGGCCUAAAGCAACAGAAAACCAAUGGUUGAGAAAGGAAUC